UUUUGGCUUUCUUUUACCGCGCUUUUAAUCCAAGCCAAAGAACAAUCUGCUGUAGUUCAUCAAUUCAGAUAAUUCAGAGUCAUUUACCAAAGGUUAUAGAUACAGAUUGUAGGAUUUAUGAAGAAUUAUUCAUUUGCGGUGUAACUGAAAUACACUUUUUGUAGAAAUUAUUGAAAAGAUAAAUAAAAUGGGAUACAUAGGGGCGCAUGGAGUAGCAGCUCUGCAUAGGUACAAGUACAGUGGAGUGGAUCACUCUUAUUUGGCAAAAUAUGUUUUGCAGCCUUUCUGGACUCGCUGUGUUCAUUUCUUCCCUCUUUGGAUGCCACCUAAUAUGAUUACGCUUAUGGGAUUCAUGUUCCUUGUUACAUCUGCAUUGCUUGGAUAUGUGAGCUCUCUCUCUCUCU